rnacentral:rRNA from 1 species
GGAUUGCGGCAGACUACCAUGCAGUCGAACGGUAGCACAGAGAGCUUGCUCUCGUUUGACGAGUGGCGGACGGGUGAGGCCUGUCUGGGAGACUGCCUGAGGGAGGGGGAGAACUACUGGAAACGGUAGUUACUACCGCAUAAUGUCGGAGACCAAAGAGGGGGACCUUCGGGCCUCUUGCCAUCGAAUGUGCCCAGAUGGGAUUAGCUAGUGGUGGAGUAACGGCUCACCUAAGCAACCAUCCCUGGCUGGUCUGAAAGGAUGACCACCCUCACUGGAACUGACACACGGUCCUCACUCCUACGGCAGGCAGCAGUGGGAAAUAUUGCACAAUGGGCGCCUGCCUGAUGCAUGCAUGCCGCGUGUAUGAAGAAGGCCUUCUGGUUGUAAAGUACUUUCGCGGGAAGGAAGGUGUUGUGGUUAAUAACCGUUUUGUUGACGUUACCCGCAAAACAAGCACCGGCUAACUCCGUGCCAGCAGCCGCGGUAAUACGAGGGUGCAAGCGUUAAUCGGAAUUACUGGGCGUAAAGCGCACGCAGGCGGUCUGUCAAGUAUGAUGUGAAAUCCCCGGGCUCAACCUGGGAACUGCAUUCGAAACUGGCUGCUGGAGUCUUGUAGAGGGGGGUAGAAUUCCAGGUGUAGCGAUGAAAUGCGUAUAGAUCUGGAGGAAUACCGGUGGCGAAGGCGGCCCCCUGGAUACUGACUGACGCUCAGGUGCGAAAGCGUGAGCAGCAAACAUGAUUACUACGCUGGUAGUCCACGCCGUAGACGAUGUCUAUUUGUAGGUAGCGUUCAUGACGCGUGGCUUCAGCAGCUAACGCAUUAAACGACUGCUGAGGAGUACGCAGGAUGAUAAUACUCAGAUGAAUGACGGCGCCGCACAGCGAGCAUCAUGUGUAUUACUACGCUGCACGACGACCAUCCUAGCUCGUCAUGACAUCACGAUCUUCAGAGAUGGAUGCUCUCAGUACUGUCAGCAGCUGCUGCAUGCUGUCGUACUGUGU